rnacentral:rRNA from 1 species
UACGUAGGGGGCGAGCGUUAUCCGGAAUUACUGGGCGUAAAGCGCACGCAGGCGGUUCGCCAAGUUUGGCGUGACAGUUGUCGGCUCAACCGACAAAGGACUUCAAAAACUGGUGAACUUGAGGACGAGAGAGGAACAUGGAACUCCAGGUGUAGUAGUGAAAUGCGUAGAUAUCUGGAAGAACACCAAUGGCGAAGGCAAUGUGCUGGCUCGGUUCUGACGCUCAGGUGCGAAAGCCAGGGGAGCGAACGGG